rfam:Canis lupus familiaris chromosome 2, whole genome shotgun sequence.
AGGACCUCAUUCAGGGAUCAUUUCGAUAGUUUGUUACUAGAAAGGUUUCUCUGAAUGUAUAGAGUACCCAAAACCAUGAGGAGGGGGCAUAGGCAUAGCAUUUUCUCCCUAGCGUGAAGCCAACAUUGGGUGGUGCUUCUGCAGCUUUCUUUUGCCACUGAGGACUGUUCUCUCACUUGAGACAGCAAGAGAAAAAACAAACAAAA